rnacentral:rRNA from 1 species
AGGAUGAACGCUAGCGACAGGCUUAACACAUGCAAGUCGAGGGGCAGCAUGAUUUGUAGCAAUACAGAUUGAUGGCGACCGGCGCACGGGUGAGUAACGCGUAUGCAACUUACCUAUCAGAGGGGGAUAGCCCGGCGAAAGUCGGAUUAAUACCCCAUAAAACAGGGGUCCCGCAUGGGAAUAUUUGUUAAAGAUUCAUCGCUGAUAGAUAGGCAUGCGUUCCAUUAGGCAGUUGGCGGGGUAACGGCCCACCAAACCGACGAUGGAUAGGGGUUCUGAGAGGAAGGUCCCCCACAUUGGUACUGAGACACGGACCAAACUCCUACGGGAGGCAGCAGUGAGGAAUAUUGGUCAAUGGCCGAGAGGCUGAACCAGCCAAGUCGCGUGAAGGAAGAAGGAUCUAUGGUUUGUAAACUUCUUUUAUAGGGGAAUAAAGUGGAGGACGUGUCCUUUUUUGUAUGUACCCUAUGAAUAAGCAUCGGCUAACUCCGUGCCAGCAGCCGCGGUAAUACGGAGGAUGCGAGCGUUAUCCG